AACGCACAUUGCGCCCUGUGGUAUUCCGCAGGGCAUGCCUGUUCGAGCGUCAUUUCAACCCUCAAGCCUCGCUUGGUGUUGGGCCCUGCCCGCCGCGGCCGGCCCUAAAGACAGUGGCGGCGCCGCCUGGCCCUCAGCGUAGUACAGCUCUCGCUCCAGGGUCCGGCGGCAGCCUGCCAGAACCCCCCAACUCUGUGGUUGACCUCGGAUCAGGUAGGGAUACCCGCUGAACUUAA
rnacentral:misc_RNA from 1 species